GACGUAGGGCGCGAGCGUUUGUCCGGAUUUAUUGGGCGUAAAGAGCUCGUAGGCGGCUUGUCGCGUCGACUGUGAAAACCCGCGGCUCAACUGCGGGCUUACAGUCGAUACGGGCAGGCUAGAGUUCGGUAGGGGGAGACUGGAAUUCCUGGUGUAGCGGUGAAAUGCGCAGAUAUCAGGAGGAACACCGGUGGCGAAGGCGGGUCUCUGGGCCGAUACUGACGCUGAGGAGCGAAAGCGUGGGGAGCGAACAGG
rnacentral:rRNA from 1 species